GAUGAAUGCUGGCGGCGCGCCUAACACAUGCAAGUCGAGCGGAAAGGCCCUUCGGGGUACUCGAGCGGCGGACGGCUGAGUAACGCGUGGGAACAUGCCCCAAAGUGAGGAAUAACUGCCCGAAAGGGUAGCUAAUGCCGCAUAUGAUCUUCGGAUUAAAGGAUUUAUCCGCUUUGGGAGUGGCCCGCGUACGAUUAGGUAGUUGGUGAGGUAAAGGCUCACCAAGCCCACGAUCGUUAACUGGUCUGAGAGGAUGAUCAGUCAGACUGGAACUGAGACACGGUCCAGACUCCUACGGGAGGCAGCAGUGAGGAAUCUUCCACAAUGGGCGAAAGCCUGAUGGAGCGACGCCGCGUGCAGGAUGAAGGCCUUCGGGUUGUAAACUGCUUUUAUAAGUGAAGAAUAUGACGGUAACUUAUGAAUAAGCACCGGCUAACUACGUGCCAGCAGCCGCGGUCAUACGUAGGGUGCAAGCAUUAUCCGGAGUGACUGGGCGUAAAGAGUUGCGUAGGUGGUUAUGUAAGCGAAUAGUGAAAUGUGGCGGCUCAACCGUACACACUAUUAUUCGAACUGCAUAACUCGAGAAUGGUAGAGGUAACUGGAAUUUCUUGUGUAGGAGUGAAAUCCGUAGAUAUAAGAAGGAACACCAAUGGCGUAGGCAGGUUACUGGACCAUUUCUGACACUGAGGCACGAAAGCGUGGGGAGCGAACCGGAUUAGAUACCCGGGUAGUCCACGCCGUAAACUAUGGAUACUAGCUGUUGGAGGUAUCGACCCCUUCAGUAGCGAAGCUAACGCGUUAAGUAUCCCGCCUGUGGA
rnacentral:rRNA from 1 species